AAACCUAGCUAUGUGGAAAAGAAAUUAUCCCUUUAAGCAUGCUGCCCAUUGAGCCCACAGGCACCUUGUUGUCCUAGGUUAGUUUUAACAGAUUUCAGAGUUUCAGAUUUUAGAGAAACACAAGAUGAAAGAUCAGACAACACUUGUAAGAGAGUAUGACAGAGGAAAAUAAAAAAAGGAAUAGAGAGACAAAGUUUAGCAUACCAAAAGAACUGUGGAAAUUGGUGGAGACUGAAGGAAGACAUGCUUCCUAAGCAGAUGAAUUUCAGUAUUUCACAGUGAAUCUGGAAUCAGAAAAAGCUUUUUGGAGUGCUUUUGUGCUGGCUGAUGAGGCCAUUUCCCAGCCAACCAGACUGUAUGAAAGAACUGCCUAAAUAUCAUGGAAGAGUAUGCAUUCAGGAGACAGCAGUGUCUCAUGAUAGGAACAGGAGGCCUUGCAGAAAAAAAUAUUUCAACUGAAUUAUGAGUUGGCACAACUGCAAGUCUUCUCCCAGAACUGAAUAUCUGCACAAAUGGCAUGGUCAAGCUUUCUUCUCCAUAAAGUGCUGCUACAGAGUUAUG